rnacentral:rRNA from 1 species
UACGUAGGCAGCAAGCGUUGUUCGGAGUUACUGGGCGUAAAGGGCGCGUAGGCGGCUUUUUAAGUCUGGUGUGAAAUCUCCCGGCUCAACUGGGAGGGUGCGCCGGAUACUGAGGGGCUAGAGUGUGGGAGAGGAAAGUGGAAUUCCUGGUGUAGCGGUGAAAUGCGUAGAUAUCAGGAGGAACACCGGUGGUGUAAACGGCUUUCUGGACCAUAACUGACGCUGAGGCACGAAAGCGUGGGUAGCAAACAGG